rnacentral:rRNA from 1 species
AUUGAACGCUGGCGGCAUGCUUUACACAUGCAAGUCGAACGAGUGGCGAACGGGUGAGUAAUAUAUCGGAACGUACCGAGUAAUGGGGGAUAACCAAUCGAAAGAUUGUCUAACACCGCAUAUUAUUCGAGCGGCCGAUACCUGAUUAGCUAGUUGGUGGGGUAAAGGCCUACCAAGGCGACGAUCAGUAGCGGGGCUGAGAGGACGAUCCGCCAGACUGGAACUGAGACACGGCCCAGACUCCUACGGGGGGCAGCAGUGGGGAAUUUUGGACAAUGGAGGCAACCCUGAUCCAGCCAGGCCGCGUGUAUGAAGAAGGCCUGGGGGUUGGAAAGUACUUUUGUUAGGGAGGCGGUACCUAAAGAAUAAGCACCGGCUAACUACGUGCCAGCAGCCGCGGUAAUUC